rnacentral:lncRNA from 1 species
GGUCUUCCGAUUAGGCUGCAGAUUCAGCCCUUUUCUUUCUUAUUAAAUGAACAAUGUUCAGUUCCACUAAUUGGGCUUGAAGCCCAGCUCCUCUACAUCACUACUGUUUUGUAAGGCAUGGGAAACACAUAACUAAAUUACUAAAUACAGUUAAUAAAAAACAUGAAACUAAACAUAACCAUUACAUUCUUCAAAUAAAUUAAGAAUCUCUCAAAUUACAUUAAUACCGAUGGAUUACAUAAACUAAACUUUACUAAAGCUAAUCUAUUAUAGAUCUUGGAUAACUGAUAUCCUGAAGAAUCCCUCCUCUUUUGGACAUGGUUUGUCCAUUAGAGCUUGGUCCCUUCUUGUAUUAGAAUGGUGUAAAUUCUAAUUUCCAGCCUUUAAACCUGUUGAUUUGGCCAAUAAAUAGCCAAAUCCGUAGGUAUCAGCUUAUAACAAAACAAACAAAUGACAAACAAAAUGAUUUAAAUAAAAGGAAAAGUUAUAUGUUCAAACAAAAGGUAAGAAUCUGACUUCAAAAAACUCAAAACUAGCCCUAAUGGAUAACUUUGCAGGAUUGAAACUCAUAAAACAUUCAGACAUAGAUCAACUUGCUCAUGCUCAAAAUCUAAACUCACAUGUUCAAGAUUCAACUAUAUUCAUAUCAUUAUUGGCUAAAUACUAUCAUAAAAGACAUUCAUUUGCACCAAACAUCAUUUACAUGCAACUGAUUUCACAUUUCUUUAACAACAAACAUUACAUGGGGAGAAUGAAGUUCAGUACCUUGCAUAACAGCAACAAAACAACAAAUAAAGGUGCAAAAACUGGCUGAAACUUUAACAAGAAAGAGCAGCAACAGGACAGGAGCCACAGUAGACCAAAACCCAAGUUUCAGACCCAAAAUCAAACACUUGAACCCAGAAAAUGACCAACUGAACCAAGAAAAUUCUUAUUUUAAACCAUUCCCAACUUGUAAAGAAUCGGAAACAAAAUGAGGAGUUUUGGGGUUUUAAGAUUUCUGAAAAAUAUGAUGUGAUUUCAGGAAUUUUGUGCAGAAUAUUAAAGCUGAAUCCAUAUGAAAAAUCUCUUUCUUUUCAGAAUGAGUGAGCCUAUAUAUAAGCUGCCUUAGGGAAGGUAUCUUUUAAGCAUAUUCCUUAUCCUAGGGAAUAAUAGUACUAUCCUUUUUUACAAUCUUUGGUACAACUGUCCUAUAUUUUAGCAUUGUUUAUAACAGCUAGGACAGCUGUACAUUUUCUAGAAAUUUCUGAUUUUCAGCUUAAGUAAAAAACCCUUUUUACCCUUUAGGUUACUAUUUCUUUCAACUUUAACCGAAACUUUUCCAAUUCAAACAUGUCCCUAAAGUUUCGAAUGGUUUUCAGGUUAGGACCAACACAAACAAACCUAAGGCAAAUAGAAAUCUAAAUCAAAAAUCCCAAAAGAAACAUAAAACUGCCACCUAUAAUUAAAAUCUAAAUUAUACCAUAAAAGAAGAAGUUCUCUAUGCAAAGGAAAAAGGAAAAGAGAUAACAUGAAGGCAAUAAAGGAAAACAAUAGUGGAUAAUUCCAACUCAUGCAAUGCUUAUAAUCAAUCAAAAUAAAUAGACAUGUGAAUGAAGUCUGAAACUACACCUAAACGGGCAACCAGCCAGAAAUGUAAUUAAGGGAAAAGAAAAGAAAUUAAAAAGAAAUCACGGGGGGAAAUAAGUAACCAACAGACUAAAACAUGAUUACUUCCUAAAUGAUAAAAAUGCAGAACAAAAACCUAAACAUGCAUCUAACAAAACUACUAAACAUGCAGAAGACAAACAAGGAUAAAAUUUAAAUGAACAGAAGAAAAGAAGAAGAUUUACCUAAAUUUGUUCCAAAAUUAGGUCAAAUUGGGAACUCGUCCAAAAAUCCUCCGAAAUGGACUUUGACUACCAUUAAUCGACUAUUUUUAAUAAGAGCAGUCGACUAAUGGAGGUUUUAAGUCCAUUCGACCAAACACAGAUCAAGAAGAGAAAAAAGGAAAAUUAGGGUUCUUCCGGAAUCACGAGAUUUAAAAUUCGAAGCACUCAAGGCUGAUUCGCAAGGGGCUAAUGGUGGUUUUGGGUUCAUAUGGGGGUAAGGAUCAUAGGGUGUAAUUUUUGUAAGAUUUGUAAUAACUAGGGUUUUGGUCGUGUCCUUCGAUUUAAGAUUCGAAGAAACCAGCAGUGAUUCGAGGGAAAGGGAUUGGAGAUUUUCAAUGGGGAGGUAAAGGGGAGUUCAUGGUGUUAUUUUGGGGGCGAUUGGACCACCAAAACCACCGUGUGAUUUCAGGUGGUGGUUUACGGUGGAGGCGGCGUGGAAUGUAAGGCGGCUAGGGUUUGGGUGAUUUACAGAGAGAGAUGGAGAGAGAAAGGGUCCAAUUGGGGGGGGGGGGUAUGGUUUUUGGACAGUUUUAUAAUUAUUGAGUUGUGAGUUUCGAGCCGUUGGAUGAUUAAAAUCCAACAACUGUGAUGUGGUUUUACCAAAACGGGGUCGUUUGGGGCAAGGGAAGGCUGGACCGGGUUUGGCAGGGAUUGGGCAAAAUUUGGGCUGAUUUGGGAGAUUAAAAUUUGUCCAAUUUAGAAAAUUAAUAAACUAAAAAUUAAAAGAUAAAAAAUAUAAAAAUGAGCUAUUUUUUGUGAUUUUCAAAUUUUAUAAAACAAAUAAUUACUGACUAAUUCUAAAAAAAUGUAAAACAAAAUCCUAAAUGCGUAUUUUUGGUAUUUUACAUGAUUUAAAUAAAAAUUAAACAUGCAUAGAAAAAUGCAAAUAAUUAAUAAAAUUCUACCAAAAUUCUUCAAAUGACAAAUAAUUAACAGAAAACUUAUUUUCCUUGGGAUUUUAUAGGAGUAUUUCGUCUAGGGAAAAAAUUACAUGCUCAUACCCAAAAUACUAGUAAGUAAAUUUUUAACUUAUUUCUUUCACUCCUUAACUUCUUUUAACAAGAUUUCAUCCUAGAAUCUAGGGUUUUCAUGAUAGAAUUGGGAAUUUUGGGUAAAACGUAAGAAUAUUGGAAUUUGGGGAUUUAGACCUCAAAUUAAGGUCGGAUUCCAAAACCAAUUAUAUGUCCAAGCUCGGGGGUGAAUGAGUAAUCGGGUUUUGGUCUGAAUUUUGGAUUUGGACCAAGCGGGCCCGGGGUCGAUUGUUCGUCUAUAUCCGGAAGAUUGUUCGUCUUCAUGGUGUGCCCGUGUCUAUCAUUUCAGACCGAGGUACAUAGUUUACCUCACAUUUCUGGAGAGGAGUUCAGCGGGAGUUGGGCACACGGGUCGAGUUCAGCACAACAUUUCAUCCUCAGACGAAUAAGCAAUCCGAGCGUACUAUUUAGAUUUUGGAGGAUAUGCUCCGAGAUUGUGUCAUUGACUUUGGAGGCUCGUGAGAUCAGUUUUUUCCUUCAGCGGAGUUUUCCUACAUCAACAGCUACCAGUCGAGCAUCCAGAUGGCUCCUUAUAAGACUUUAUAUGGCAGGCGGUGUCGGUCGCCGAUUGGAUGGUUUGAACCGGGAGAGGCUCACUUGUUAGGUACGAAUCUAGUACAAAGGGCCUUGGACAAGGUCAGGAUCAUUUAGGAUAGGCUUUGUACAACUCAGUCCAGGCAAAAGAGUUAUGCCGACCGUAAGGUUCGUGAUGUGGCAUUCAUGGUCGGCGAGCGGGUGUUGCUUCGAGUGUCACCUAUGAAGGGCGUGAUGAGAUUUGGGAAGAGGGGCAAGCUUAGCCCUAGGUUCAUUUGUCCUUUUGAGAUUCUUGAUCGAGUGGGAGAGGUGGCUUACAGAAUUGCAUUGCCGCCGAGUUUAUCAGUCGUGCAUCUAGUGUUUCACGUGUCCAUGCUUCGGAAAUAUCACAAUGACCUAUCCCAUGUGUUAGACUUCAGCACUGUCCAGUUGGACAAGGACUUGUUCUAUGAGGAGGAGCCGGUAGCAAUUCUAGACUGGCAGGUUCGUCAGUUGAGAUUGAAGAGUUUUCCUUCUGUUCGUGUUCAGUAGAGAGGUCAACCUGUUGAGGUAGUGACCUGGGAGUCCCAGUUCGAUAUGCGGAGCCGAUAUCCCCAUCUUUUCUCUGACUCAGAUACUUCCUUCUUAUGUUCAUUCGAGGGCUAACGGUUGAUUUAGAGAUGGAGAAUGUAAUGACCCAAAAGGUCAUCACUUGUUUUGGAAAUAAAUUCUAUGUUCGGAGGCCUUAAAACCUCCUUUUUGUCUCACCUUGAUUCGCGUGCGCAGUCCGGGCGUGUGUCCAGAAAGUCAUUAUGUGAAAAUCUAUGGAAAAUGAUAAAUUUUGAUUUUAAAAUGAAUUUAAGUUGACUUCGGUCAAUAUUUUGGGUAAACGGACCUGGGCACGUGAUUUGACAGUCCCGAAGGGUCCGUAGGAAAAUAUGGAACUUGGGCGUAUGCCCGGAAUCGAAUUCCGAGAUCCCAAGCCCGAGAAAUGAGUUUUUAAAGAAAAUUAUUUUCUAAAAUUUUAAGAGUUUUUGGAAAUGUGAAUGUAUUGGAAUUUAAUGGUAUCGGGCCCGUAUCUUGGUUCCGGAGCCCGGUACAUGUAUUUUAUGUUAUUUAAGUUGAGCCCGUAAAGUUUGGUAAAAAACAGACUUGAAAUGACGUGAAUCAGACCAUCGGUUGUUAAAAAUGGAACUUAGGAGUUCAUGAGAUUUCCUUUGAUUUUAAUGUUAAAUCCGUUGUUAAAGGUGUUAAUUUGGCGAUUUGAUCGCACAAGUAAGUUCAUAUAUGUUUUCGAGUUAGUAUGCACGUUUGGUUUGGAGCCCCAAGGGCUCGAGUGAGUUUCGAAUAGGUUUCGAGAUGUUUUUACACUUAAGAAAAGUUGCAGGUUCAGAGAAGUUGCAGGUCUCUGAAGCUAGGUCUCGCGGUACGCGGUGUAAUCUUCGCGACCGCGGUGGGAUUCAUGCUGUCCGCGAUGAGCAAAGCCAGGUCUUUGCGGCUGCGCUCGAUUUCUUGCAGUUCGCAGUGGAGCUCCGCAGCCUCAAUCCUUUUUGUGCGGUCCGCGGAGAGGGUUUAAGAGGAGUAUAUUUAAAAAGGAUUUUUAGUUAUUUUUCACUUUUCAAACCCUAAAACAUAAGAGGCGAUUUUCCAAAAACUCUUUAUUCUCCUAAAACACUAGUAAGUCGUUUUUAACUUAUUUCUUUCACUCCUUAACUUCUUUUAACAAGAUUUCAUCCUACAAUAUAGGGUUUUCAUGGUGGAAUUGGAAAUUUUGGGUAAAACCUAAGAAUAUUGGAAUUUGGGGAUUUAGACCUCAAAUCGUGGUCGGAUUCCAAAACCAAUUAUAUGUACGGGUUCGGGGGUGAAUGGGUAAUCGGGUUUGGUUUGAAUUUUGGAUUUGGACCAAGCGGGCCCAGGGUCGAUUUUUUUAACUUUUUGGGAAAAACACUAGAAAACCUAUUUUCAUGUAUUAGGAUUUGUUAUUUAGCAUUUAUUAAUGUUAUUAAGUAAAUUGUGGCUAGAUACGAGCGAGUUGGAAGUGGAACCAAGAGGUAAAGCGGUAGUUGAAGAUUGAUUGUGUUCGUGGCUUUGAGGUAAGUGUUUUGUCUAACUUUAGCUUGAGGGAUUAAGAGUUUAGUCUUAUUUGCUAUGUGUUAAUUGUUGAGUACGACAUAUAGGUAUGGUGAUGAGUAUCUAUACGUUGGUCUCAAGCAUGCCCGUGAGUCUAUACUAUGGUUAAUGUGACUCCAUUUUAUAUUAUUCAUGUUUUAUAUGAUGAUUUCUAUUGAGGAAUAUGAUUUGUGGAGGUAUUAUUGGUAAUUGAACAUUGUAGAGCGUUGGCUCAAGUCGAGAAAUGAAUUGUUAACAUUGUAGAGUGUUGGCUCAAGUUGUGAAUUGAAUUGUGAGGUAAAUGUGGAAAAGAGAAGAGGUUUAUGAUAUUAUCUCCCUUGCCGGGAUGUUAUUGCUUUUGGUAUUAUCUCCCUCAUCGGGACGUUAUUAUUCAUGAUAUUGUUUCCCUUGCCGGGAUAUUGUUAUUGUGCUAUUGUUCCCUUGCCGGGAUUUUAUUGUAAUCUUAUUGAUUCUCGUGACCUUAUUUCUUUGUGAUUGUUGUUUGGGUUAGGAGGAGUGUUAAAGCACAAAGGGUGAUGCCAUGCAUGACAUUUGUGAAAGAGUGUAAAGCACGAAGGGUGAUGCCGUGUAUGAUUUUGAGAGUGUUAAUGCACGAAGGGUGAUGUCGUGCCGCAUGAUGUACAAUUCCGUGCCGAUUUUAUUGAUUUUAUGGUGAGGACGAGAGUAAAAGCACGAAGAGUGAUGUCGUACAGAUUAUAUUGAUUAUUAUGGUGAGAACGAGUGUAAAAGUACGAAUGGUGAUGUCGUGCACUUGUCUUUUAUUUCUGAUUCUCGUUGGUAAUCGAACUUUGGUGAUCCUUAUAUUUAUCUGUUGUUCUUCUGUUAGUUUUUUUUAUGUUCCCCGUAGCAUGUUUCCCCUUUUCCCAUCCUUAACUGUAUAUUUCUGCCUUUAUUUCUGUUGUAUAUGAUUUAACUGCACAAGUUUAUUUGGUAGUCUGAUCCUAGCCUCAUCACUACUUCGCCUAGGUUAGGCUAGGCACUUACCAGCACAUGGGGUCGAUUGUGCUGAUACUACACUCUGCACUGUCUGCAUAUCCCCGUGCCUUAGCUUUUGGACCACAUAGAGGUUGCUACAUUUAGUCCAUUAGGCGACCCGAGGUAGUCCUGCAGGCGUCCGCAGGCUUUGGUGUCUCCUUCUGUCCUUCCAUAAUGUUUCUUUUAUGUAUUUCCGAAAUAACUUUGUAUUUAUCUUUCGGACCCCUAUUUGUAGUAUUCCUAGACGGUCUGUGAAGUUAUAAUACCAGUUCUGGUAGUUUUUAGUUUAUGGAUUUUUAUCGAUUUUAUAUUAAAUGGAUACAUUUCAUUCUUCCCCUUUAUUAUUUCCACUGAUUUUGCAAAUGUUAAUUCAUAACUACUAAAGGAUUUAAAAAUGAAAAAAGUAAAUAAUUGGAAUGGUUGGCUUGCCUAGCUUACACUAGUAGGCGCCAUCAUGACUCCCGAGGGUGGAAAAUUCAGGUCGUGACAAGUUGGUAUCAGAGCUCUAAGUUUCUUAGGUCUCACAAUUCAUAGACAAGCUUAGUAGAGUCUGAGGGAUCGGUACGGAGACGUUUGUAUUUAUCCCCAGAGGCUACAGAGUUAGGAAAAACUUCACAUCUAUUCUUUCCUGUCAUGCAGUUUGGUUUCUCAAUACUGAUUGAUUUCUACUUUGUUCUUUUGCAGAUGGCGAGAACACGCGCUUCCUCAUCCACUGAUCAGCAGCCCGAGUCCCCCAAUAGUAGCUCCCACAAGGGGCAGAGGGCAAAGCCGAGGCCGUGCUAGAGGCUGAGGCAGGGGCAGAGCUCAGCCAAAAACAGCAGCACCAGCGGCGGAGCCUUAGGUUGAGUUUGAUGAUGAGGUUCUGGCCCAAGCAGUUUCAGUGGGCCCAACUCAGGUCCUAGAGGGGUUCAUUGCUACCCAGUACUCUAUGAUGCUUUGGUCCUUUUAGUGGGCCUUAUGGAGAGUGUCACCCGGACAGGCUUACUUCUGGUAGCACCUGCCGUCUCUCAGGCCGGGGGAGGAGCACAGACUCCCACUACCCACACUCCGGAGCAGAUAGUUCCCCAGUUUCAGACUCCAGCAGCUUAGCCAGUUGGAGCAGUUUAGUCGGGUGUGGUAGCUCAGACCGGUGAUGGAGCAGCAAUGUCUGCUGAUUCCUUGUGGAGAUUGGACAUGUUUACCAAGCUCUUCACCACCACUUUCAGCAUUGCAUCUUCUAAGGAUCCCCAGGAUCAUUUAGACAUCUAUCAUGAGGUUCCCAGGAACAUGGGGAUAGUGGAAACCAAUGGGGUCGACUUUGCUACCUUUCGUUUGUCUGGUUCUGCCAAGACUUGGUGGAGAGAUUAUUGUUUGGAUAGGCCAGCUGGAUCACCAACUUUGACUUGGGAUCAGUUUUCUCAGCUAUUUUAGGAUAAGUUUCUUCCUAUCACUCAGAGGGAGAACUAUCGGAGGCAGUUUGAGCAUCUCCAAUAAGGUUCUAUGACUGUUACUCCGUAUUAGACCAGAUUUAUUGACUUGGACUAUCAUGCUCUUCUUAUACUUCCCACUGAGAGAGAGUGAAGAGGUUCAUUGAGGGACUCAUUUAGCCUAUUCGAUUGCAGAUGGCUAAGGAGACGGGGAACAAUUUUUCUUUUCAGGAUGCGGCCAAUGUGGCCAGUAGAGUUGAGAUGGUUCUAUCACGGGAGGGUGGUCAGGGGUAUGACAAGAGGCCUCGCCACUCGGGCAGAUUCAGUGGUGCCUCAUCUGGAGGCAGGGAUUCUUUUGGUAGGGGCCAUCCUCCCAGGCCGUUCCAUUCAGCACUUCAGGCUUCUCACGGUGCUCCAAGUGGUUGUGGUUCUCGUAUGCAGUAUUCUGAUCAGUUGCCAUACAGUGCACCACCAGCUCCUAUCAGUGCACCCUCCACUCUAGAGNNNNNNNNNNNNNNNNNNNNNNNNNNNNNNNNNNNNNNNNNNNNNNNNNNNNNNNNNNGUUAUCACCUUACCAUGCUAUCUUGGACUGUCAUGCCAAGACUGUGACCUUAGCCUUGCCGAGGUUGCCUCGUUUAGAGUGGAGAGGGACUCCUGGUCAUUCUACCCAUAGUGUUAUCUCGUAUAUGAAGGCUCGGCAAAUGGUCGAGAAUGGGUGUUUGGCCUAUUUGGCAUAUGUUCGUGAUUCUAGUGCUGGGGUUCCUUCUAUGGAUUUUGUGCAUGUAGUUCAUGAAUUUCCUGAUGUAUUUCCUUCAGACCUGCUGGGUAUGCCACCUGACAGGGAUAUUAACUUCUACAUUGAUUUGGCUCCGGGCACUCAGCCCAUUUCUAUUCCGCCGUAUCGUAUGGCCCCGCCUUAGUUGAAAGAAUUGAAGGAGCAGUUGCAAGACUUUCUUGAUAAAGUCUUCAUUAGACCUAGUGUCUCGCCUUGGGGUGCACCAGUGUUGUUUUUAAGAAGAAGGACGGAUCGAUGAGGAUGUGUAUAGAUUACUGGCAAUUGAAUAAGGUUACAAUCAAGAAUAAGUAUCUGUUGUCGAGGAUUGAUGAUUUGUUUGAUCAGAUUCAGGGUGCCAAGGUAUUUUCGAAGAUUGACUUGAGAUCUGGCUACCAUCAGCUGAGGAUUAGGGAAUCCAACCUCCCCAAGACAGCUUUCCGCACUCGGUACGAGCAUUAUGAGUUCUUGGCGAUGUCAUUUGGGUUGACCAAUGCCCAAGCAGCUUUUAUGGAUUUGAUGAACCGAGUGUUUAGGCCUUACUUGGAUUCGUUUUUGAUAGUCUUCAUUGAUGAUAUUUUGAUCUAUUCCCGCAGCCGGGAGAAGCAUGAGCAUCAUCUGAAAGUGGUUAUUCAGACUUUGAAAGAUAGUCAGUUGUAUGCUAAGUUUUCGAAGUGUGAGUUCUGGUUGAGUUUGGUUGCAUUCUUGGGUCAUGUAGUUUCAGCAGAGGGUAUUCAGGCAUAUCUCAAGAAGAUAGAGGCAGUCAAGAACUGUCCUAGACCCGCAUCAGCUACAGAGAUUCGGAGUUUCUUGGGUUUGGCAGGCUACUACCGUCACUUUUUGGAGGGGCUUUUGUCUAUUGCAGUCCCGAUGACCAGGUUGACCUAGAAGAGUGCCCAAUUCAGGUGGUGGGACGAGCGUGAGGCGAGCUUUCAGAAGCUCAAGACAGCUUUGACUAUGGCACCGAUGUUGAUUUUGCCCACAGGUUAAGGGCCAUUUAUAGUUUAUUGUGAUGCAUCUCGUAUUGGACUUGGUGUGGUAUUGAUGCAGGAUGGAAAGGUCAUUGCUUAUGCUUUCCGGAAGUUGAAGAUUCAUGAGAAGAACUAUCCAGUCCAUGAUUUGGAGUUAGCAGUCAUUGUUCAUGCAUUGAAGAUCUAGAGGCACGACCUGUAUGGCGUGUCAUGUGAGGUGUUCACGGAUCACAAGAGUCUGCAAUAUUUGUUCAAGCAGAAGGAGCUAAAUUUGAGGCAGAGAAGGUGGUUGGAGCUAUUGAAAGACUAUGAUAUCACCAUCUUAUAUCAUCCGGGGAAGGCCAUUGUUGUGGCGGAUGCUUUGAGUAGGAAGUCAGCCAGUAUGGGUAGUCUUGCGUAUAUUCUGGACGGUGAGACACUGCUUGCUUUGGAUGUUAAAGCUUUGGCCAAUCAAUUCGUGAGGUCGGAUGUUUCUGAGCCCAGCCGGGUGUUGGCUUGCAUAGUUGCUCGUUCUUCUUUAUUGGAGAGUAUUUGAGAUCGGCAGUAUGAUGAUCCUCAUUUGUAUGUCCUUAGGGACACGGUGCAACACGGUGGUGCUAAGUAGGUUACUUUGGGAGAUGAUGGAGCUUUGAGGCUGCAUGGUCGAGUUUGUGUACCUAAUGUGGAUGGGCUUCAAGAGUUGAUUUUAGAGGAGGCCCAUAGUUCCCGGUACUCUAUUCAUUCAAGCGCCGCUAAGAUGUAUCAGGAUUUGCGGCAGCAUUAUUGGUGGAGGAGGAUGAAGAAGGAUAUUGUUGCAUAUGUGGCUCGAUGUUUGAAUUGUUAACAGGUUAAGUACGAUCAUCAGAGACCUGGUGGUUUGUUCCAGAAGAAUGAUAUUCCUGAGUGGAAGUGGGAGCGUAUCACUAUGGACUUCGUUGUUGGACUCCCACGAACUCAGAGGAAAUUCGAUGUAGUGCGAGUUAUUGUUGAUAGGCUGACUAAGUCAGCACAUUUCAUUCCUGUAGCAGUCUCCUAUUCUUCCGAGAAGUUAGCUGAGAUCUAUAUCUGAGAGAUUGUUCAUCUUCAUGAUGUGCCCGUGUCUAUUUCGGAUCGAGGUACGUAGUUUACCUUGCAUUUCUAGAGAGCAGUUUAGCGUGAGUUGGGCACACGAGUUGAGUUGAGCACAGCGUUUCAUCCUCAGACGAACGGGCAGUCUGAGUGUACUAUUUAGAUUUUGGAGGAUAUGCUCCGAGCUUGUGUCAAUGACUUUGGAGGCUCAUAGGAUCAGUUCUUGCCUUUAGCGGAGCUUGCCUACAACAACGGCUACAAGUCGAGUAUCCAAAUGGAUCCUUAUGAGGCUUUAUAUGGUAGGUGGUGUCGGUCGCCGGUUGGAUGGUUUGAGCUGGGAGAGGCUCGGUUGUUGGGUACGGAUCUAGUACAGGAAGCCUUGGAUAAGGUCAGGAUUAAUCAGGAUAGGCUUCGUACAGCUCAGUCUAGGAAAAAGAGUUAUGCUGAUCGUAAGGUUCACGAUGUGGCAUUCAUGGCCGGCGAGCGGGUGUUGCCUAUAAAGGGCGUGAUGAGAUUUGGGAAGAGGGGCAAGCUUAGCCCUAUAUUCAUUGGCCCGUUUGAGAUUCUUGAUCGAGUGGGAGAGGUGGCUUACAGACUUGUGUUGCCGCCGAGCUUAUCAGCCAUGCAUCUAGUGUUUCAUGUGUCUAUGCUUCGGAAGUAUCACGGCUAUCCAUCCCACGUGUUAGACUUCGACAUUGUCCUGUUGGAAAAGGACUUGUCCUAUGAGGAGGAGCCAGUAGCUAUUCUAGACCGGCAGGUUCGUCAGUUGAGAUCGAAGAGUUUUCCUUUUGUUCGUGUUCAAUAGAGAGGUCAACCUGUUGAGGCAGCGACCUGGGAGUCCGAGUCCGAUAUGCAAAGUCGAUAUCCCCAUCUUUUAUCCGACUCAAGUACUUUUUUCUUAUGUCCGUUCGAGGACGAACAAUUAUUUUAAAGGUGGAGAAUGUGAUGACCCAAAAGAUCAUCACUUGUUUUGGAAAUAAAUUCUAUGUUCCGAGGCCUUAAAACCUUCUUUUUGUCUCACCUUGAUUUGCGUGCACAGUGCAGGCGUGUGUCCGAAAAGUCAUUAUGUGAAAAUCUAUGGAAAAUGAUAAAUUUUGCUUUUAAAAUGAAUUUCAUUGACUUUGGUCAAUAUUUUGGGUAAACGGACCCGGACCAGUGAUUUGAAGGUCCCGGAGUGUCCGUAGGAAAAUAUGGGACUUUGGCGUAUGCCCAUAAUUGAAUUCCGAGAUCCCAAGUCCGAGAAAUGAGUUUUUAAAUAAAUUUGUUCUAUGAAAUUUUAAGAGUUUUUGGAAAUGUAGAUGUAUUGGAAUUUGAUGGUAUCGGGCCCGUAUCUUGGUUCCGGAGCCCGGUACAGGUCUCAUAUGUUAUUUAAGUUGAUCCCGUAAAGUUUGGUAAGAAACGGACUUGAAAUGACGUGAAUCGGACCCUCGGUUGUAAAAAAUGGAACUUAAGAGUUCAUGAAGUUUUUCUUUGAUUUUGAUGAUAAAUUCGUUGUUAAAGGUGUUAAUUUGGCGAUUUGAUUGCACGAGUAAGUCCAUACAUGUUUUCGAGUUAGUAUGCGCGUUUGGUUUGGAGCCCCAAGGGCUCGGGUGAGUUUCGGAUAGGUUUCGGGAUAUUUUUACACUUAAGUUGCAGGUUCAGAGAAGUUGCAGGUCUCUAAAGCUCGGUCUUGUGGUCCGCGGUGGAAUCUUCGCGACUGUGGUGGAGUCUUCGCGACCGCGGUGGGAUUUAUGCGGUCCGCGAUGAGCAAGGCUAGGUCUUCGCAGCCGCGCUCGAUUUCUUGUGGUCCGCCAUGGAGCUCCGCGGCCGCAGUGCUUUUUAUGCGGUCCGUGGAGAGGGUUUGAGAGAAGUAUAUUUAAACGGGACUUUAAGUUAUUUUUCACUUUUCAAAACCCUAAAACAUAAGAGGCGAUUUUCCAAACACUCUUUAUUCUCCCAAAACACUAGUAAGUGCUUUUUAACUUAUUUCUUUCACUCCUUAACUUCUUUUAACAAGAUUUCAUCCUAGAAUCUAGGGUUUUCAUGGUGGAAUUGGUAAUUUUGGGUAAAACCUAAGAAUGUUGGAAUUGGGGGAUUUAGACCUCAAAUUGAGGUCGGAUUCCAAAACCAAUUAUAUGUCUGGGCUCGGGGGUGAAUGAGUAAUCGUAUUUUGUUCCUAAUUUUGGAUUUGGACCAAGCGGGCCUAGGGUCGAUUUUUUUAACUUUUUGAGGAAAUAUUGGAAAACUUAUUUUCAUGCAUUAGAAUUGAUUCAUUUAGCAUGUAUUGAUAUUGUUAAGUAAAUUUUGGCUAGAUACAAGCGAAUUGGUGGUGGAAACAAGAUAUAAAGUAGUACUUGAGGCUUGAAUUGUGUUCGCGGCAUCGAGGUAUGUGUUUGGUCUAACCUUCGCUUGAGGGAUUAGGAGUCGUGACUUAUUUGCUAUGUCUUAAUUUUUGAGUACGAUGUAUAUGUAUGGUGACGAGUAUCUAAAUAUUGGUGUCAAGCAUGCUCGUGAGUCUUAUACUAUUAUUAAUGUGACUGUGUUUCAUAUUGUUCAUGCUUUAUGUAUUGAUUUCUAUUGAUGAACAAGACUUGUGAAAGUAUUAUUGGUAAUUGAGCAUUGAAGAGAGUUGUCUAAAGUUGUAAAAUGAUUUGUGGAAGUAUUAAUGGCAGUUCAACAUUUUAGAGUGUUGGCUCAAGUUGUGAAGUAAAUGUGGAAAAGAUAAGAGGUUUAUGAUAUUAUCUCCCUUGUCGGGACGUUAAUAUUCAUGAUAUUGUUUUCCUUUGCCGGGAUAUUGUUGUUAUGCUAUUGUUCCCUUGCUGGGACUUUAUGUAAAUAUUAUUGAUUCCCUUGCGCAAAUUGUUUGUGAUUAUUGCUUGGGUGAGGAAGAGUGUUAAAGCACGAAGGGUGAUGCCGUGUAUGAUUUUGAGAGUGUUAAUGCACGAAGGGUGAUGCUGUACCAAUAUUGUGAGGUAAAAGCAUGAAGGGUGAUGUCAUGUUGCACGAUGUACAAUUCCGUGCCGAUUAUAUUGAUUUAUAUGGUGAGGAAGAGAGUAAAAGCACGAAGGGUGAUGCCGUGCAGAUUUAUUGAUUCUUAUGGUGAGGACGAGAGUAAAAGCACGAAGGGUGAUGCCGUGCACUUGUCUUUCAUUUCUGAUUCUUGUAGGUAAUUGAACUUUGGUGAUCCUUAUAGUUAUCUGUUUGUCCUUCUAUUAUUAUUUGAGGUUCCCCGCAGCAUGUUUUCCCCCUCCCCUUCUUAACUGUACUUUCCUGCUUUUAUUUUCCGUUGCAUAUGAUUUAACUGCACAGGUUUAUUUGGUAGCAUGGUCCUAGCCUUGUCACUACUUCGCCGAGGUUAAGCUAGGCACUUACCAGCACAUGGGGUCGGUUGUGCUGAUACUACACUCCGCACUAUGUGUAGAUCCCGGUGACGCCGCUUUUGGACCAUAGUGAGGGUGCUGUCUUCAGUCCAUUCAGGCGACCCGAGGUAGUCCUGCAGGCGUCCGCAGGCCCUGACGUCUCCUUCUAUCUUUCUAUAUUUUUCCUCUAUGUAUUUCUGAAAUAGCUUGUAUUUACCUUUCGUACUCAUAUUUGUACUACUCUUAGACAGUCUGUGUAACUAUGACACCAAAUUUUGGGUAGAGUUAUACUUAGAUUUUCGCAGUUUGUAUUAAUAUAAAUUAUCAAAUUUCGUCUUCCGUACUAUUUUUAUUAUUAUUAAUUCCACCGCUUUUGUUAUGUUGUUUUGAAAUUGCUAAGAGAUUAAGAAUGAACAUGGUAAAUAAUUGGACUAAUUGGCUUGCCUAGCUUUCACUAGUAGGCGUCAUCACGACUCCCGAGGGUGAAAAAUUCGGGUCGUGACAGAAAGAUGCAAUGAUGAUAGUAAAAUUAAAGACUCGUAUAGGAUGUGUAUCUCCUAUGAGAUUGAGCUUAAGAAAAACUAUAAACUGAGCUUGACUAAACUAAAAAUUGAUCCUAUUCUCCAGGCAGGACCCCUGAACUCAAGAAAAACUAGAGAGUAAAAACUUAAGAAAACUAACAACUGACUCUAUUCUCUAGGCGGGACCCCUGAACUUUAAGAAAAACUAUAGACUAACAAUUAAAGGAAACCAAACACUAACCUUAUUCUCCAGGCGAGACCCCUGACCUAAAGGAAUGCUAAAGAUUGAUAACUUAAGAAAACUAAAACUGAUAACUUAGGAGAAACUUUGAAGUGACCCUAUUUUCCAGGGGGGACCCUGAACUUAAGGAAAGCUAAAGAUUAAUAACUUGAGGAAACUAAAACUGACCCUAUUUUCCAGGCGGGACCCUUGAACUCAAGGAAAACUAAAGAUUAAGAACUUAAGAAAACUAAAAUUGGCAUUAUUCUCCAGGAGGGACCCCUGCAUUCAAGAAAAAAUAAAGAUUAACAACUUAAGAAAACUAAAAGCUGACCCUAUUCUCUAGGCAGGACCCCUGAAAUCAAGUAAAACUAAAGACUAAUAACUUAAGGAAAAUAAAAAUUGACCCUAUUCUCUAGGUGGGACCCCUGAACUAAAGGAAUGCAAAAUAAUGGAAACUUAAGAAAACUAAAACUGACAACUUUGGAGAAACUUAGAAAUGACCCUAUUUUCCAGAGGGGACUUUGAACUUAAGGAAAGCUAAAGAUUAAUAACUUGAGAAAACUAAAACUGACCCUAUUUUCCAGGCGGGACUCCUGAACUUAAGAAAAACUAAAGACUCUUCUGAUUUAGGAGAAUGCUUAGGAGGUAUGGUUCUUUUCAACUAGGAAAAAUGCCUAGGAGGUGAUGGUCUUCUCAACUAGGAGAAUGUCUAUGAGAUAAAAACAUUCUCAAACAGCCUUUGUGCUGACAAAAUUUGGGCACGACACCCGAAAGAUUUAAGCUUCCAAGCUUUGAUUUGGACAUAGUCUUCGUCCCUUUUCAAACAAAGAAAACUUGUGAGUUUAAAACAUGGUGGUUGGUUUGUGGCCUUGACCUUAAGGGCGAUUGCUCCUUCACUUUCGAUGAUAACUUUGAUUUCAACUUGGAAGACUUUGCUUGUUAUUGACUACCCAUUUUUUGUCAACUAUUAUCACAAAAAACACCUCUGAACCGUUCAAGCCCAAUACCAUCUAUCUCUUGCAUUGUUCUCAUGAAUUGACAUUUACCAAACUUUUGAAUUUCACAUGAAUUCCAAAGCACGUCAAUUAACUUGGUGUGCAUACUACUCUUUCCUGACUUAUGCCACUUUGAUGUGCUAGCCAGACUCUGCUUUGUGCAAUUGGAAAACUAAUAGCAAAUUUUAAAUCAUUUCUCACUUGUUCUAACAAAACAGACUAAAAAAGAGGACUUAAACAAAGAAAGAGGAACAUAGUAAGGGGACAAUGGAAAGAGAUGAUGUCUAACAAGAAAAUUACCAAGUAGAAACUUAUCUGACGUGGAUACCAACUCCAAUGACCAUGACAUGUAUUUUGAAUUAAGCGGCCUAAUCUCUCAAACAAGUCUAAUGUUAAACUCUUGUUAUACCUCUAAGCCGCGAAAUUGGGCUUCAAUGCUUCAAUUAUCCUAUCUGAUUCACGAUCCUUAUUCGACUUGUAGUGCCCGAAGGGUUUCACCAUCAAGCCUCUCUCAUUUUGUUCUUUCUCUCAACUCACCGUCGCCUUAUGGUGCCUGUGAAGGAUUUCACCAAUAAAAUUAUCAUUUUGUUCUUUUCUUCUUAUUUUCUCUAGUUCUGCAGAUUACAAGGUAUUAACCAUGGUAAAAAUAUCAUAUGUUCCUGUCAUGUCUAACUUGGCACUUUCAAAGUGUAUCUGGAAAAUCUAUUUUGGGCGGUAAUGUGCCUGUUGAACAGGGUUAGACAGAAAGAAAGGCAUGAAGGCUCAAAUUCGAACUAAGACAAAAUGAGGUAUAACCUUACAACUUUUGGAACCGUCUUUUAUAGAAAACAAAACUCCUGCCCCAGUUUCUUUUGAUGUGAGGAAUUUUUCGAAUAGUCAAAACACCCUCGGAUUCAAGCCUAAGAUUUCCAAAACUUCCGAAUUCCGCAAACAAUCAAAAAGUCUAUCAAACCACCUCCGAAUGACCUGAAAUUUUGCACACACGUUACAAAAUGACACAACGGACCUACUCCAAUCUCUGAAAUUCCAUUCCGACCCCGAUAUAAAAAUUUCCACUACCAACCGGAAAGCGUCAAAUUCUAACUUCGCCAGUUCAAGCCUAAAUCUACCACGGACCUCCAACUUACAUUCCGAUCACGCUCCUGAGUCCCAAAUUACCUAACAAAGGUAUCUGAACCAUCACAUCCAAGCCCUUUUUCACAUAAGUCAACGUCCGGUUGACUUUUCCAACUCAAGCUUACUCAAAAUAGACUAAGUGUCGCAAACCUCUCCAAAACCACUCCGAAGCCAAACCAACUAACCUGAUACCACAUAAUACAGCUGCACAGGACAUAAAGAAGUAGAAAUGGGGAAAACAGAGUAGUAACUCAUGAAACGACCGGCCGAGCCGUUACAUCAUCCCCCUCUUAAACAAACGUUCAUCCUCGAACGAGUCAAGAAACAUACCCGAAACCUCAAAUAGGUGAGGAUAUCUGCUCUGCAUCUCCCGCUCGGUCUCCCAGGUAGCCUUCUCCAUGGGCUGACCUCUCUACUGCACUUUCACUGAAGCUAUAUCCUUUGAUCUCAACUUUCGAACCUGACGCCCCAAAAUAGCCACUGGCUCCACAUCAUAAGUCAAAUCACCAUCCAACUGAACAGUGCUGAAAUCCAAAACAUGGGACGGAUCGCCAAUAUACUUCCGGAGCAUAGAAACAUGAAAUACCAGAUGUACACUCGACAAGGUGGAUGGCAAAGUAAGCUCAUAAGCUACCUCCCCAAUCCCUUGAAGCACCUCAAAAGGCCCAAUGAACCAAGGACUCAAUUUACCAUUCUUCCCAAAUAUCACAACACCCUUCAUGGGUGAAACCUUCAAUAGAACCUUAUCCCCAACCAUGUAGGACACAUCACGGACCUUCCUGGCAGUAUAACUUUUUUGUCUCGACUGUGCUAUACGAAGUCGCUCCUGAAUCACCUUCACCUUGUCCAAAGCGUCCUGCACCAAGUCUGUACCCAAAAGUCGAGGCUCACCCGGCUUAAACCAACCAACUGGAGAUCUACAUUAUCUCCCAUACAAAGCCUCAUAUGGAGUCAUCUGAAUACUCGACUGAUAACUAUUGUUGUAAGAAAACUCUGCAAGUGGUAUAGAUUAAUCCCAUGACCCUCCAAAAUCAAUGACACAAACGUGCAACAUGUCCUCCAAUAUCUUAAUAGUGCGAUCAGACUGCCUGUCCGUCUGAGGGUGAAAAGCUAUGCUCACCUCAACCUGAGUACCCAACUCUCCUUGCACGGCUCUCCAAAACUGCAAAGUAAAUUGAGUACCUCUAUCUGAAAUGAUGGAAACUGGACACAAUGAAAGCGAACAUCUGUCGAAUAUAGAUAUCUGCCAGCCGCUUUGAAGAAUAGGUAAUAUCAUAUGAAUGAAGUGCACGAACUUGGUCAGUCGAUCCAUAAUCACCCAAAUAGCAUCAAACUUCUUCAAGGUUUGAAGGGAUCUAACUACAAAGUCCAUGGUGAUCCGCUCCCACUUCCACUCCGGUAUCAAUCUGCUGAAGCAAGCCACCCGAUCUCUGAUGCUCAUAUUUCACAUGCUGAGAAUUGAGAUACCAAGCUACAAAUUCCACAAUAUCCUUCUUCACUCUUCUUUACCAGUAAUGUUGUCUCAAAUCCUGAUACAUCUUCGCGGCACUCAGAUGGAUGGAAUACCGCGAGCUAUAGGCCUCUACGAAGAUCAACUCCCGAAGCUCAUCCAUAUUGGGCACGCAUAUUCGCCCCUGCAUCCUCAACACCCCAUCAUCACCAAUAGUCACAUCUCUAAAAUCGUCGUGCUGAACUAUGUCCUUAAGGACAAGCAAAUGAGGAUCAUCAUACUGGUGCUCUCUAAUGCGAUCAAAUAAGGAAGACCGAGAAAUCACACAAGCCAAUACCCGACUAGGAUCCGAAAUAUCCAACCUCAUGAACCGAUUGACCAAGGCCUGAACAUCAACUGCAAGAGGUCUCUCCCCAACAGGAAUAAAUGCAAGACUACCCAUACUCACCGCUUUCUUACUCAAGGCAUCGGCCACUACAUUUGCUUUCCCCGGAUGGUACAAGAUAAUGAUAUCAUAGUGCUUUAGCAACUCCAACCAUCUGUGCUGCCUCAAAUUGAUAUCCUUCUAUUUGAACAAGUAUUGGAGGGUACGAUGAUCAGUAAACGCCUCACAAGACACACCAUACAAAUAAUGUCUCCAAAUCUUGAACGCAUGAACAAUGGCAGCACACUCCAAAUAAUGAAUGGGGUAGUUCCUCUCAUGGGGCCUCAACUGACGAGAAGCAUAAACAAUAACUCUACCCUCUUGCAUCAACACACCCAAUACAAACUCUCGAAGCAUCACAAUACACUAAAUAAGAACCUGAAGCUGAUGGCAACACUAACACUGGAGCUAUGGUCAAGGCGGUCUUGAGCUUCUGAAAGCUCGCCUCACACUCAUCCAACCACGUGAAUGGAGCACCCUUCUAAGUCAACUUGGUCAAAGGUUUUGCUAUAGAUGAAAAUCCCUGAAUGAACUAGCAGCAAUAACCCGCCAAACCAAGAAAUCAACGAAUCUCUGUGGCUGAGGACGGUCUGGGCCAACUCUGAACCGCUUCUAUCUUCUUCGAAUCAACCUGAAUAUUGUCACUGGACACCACGUGCCCCAAAAAAGCCACUAAACUGAGCCAAAACUCACAUUUGGAGAACUUUGCAUAAAGUUUCUCCUCCCUCAAUCUCUGCAACACAACCCUGAAAUGCUCUGCGUGGUCCUCCUGACUACAUGAAUAUACCAGAAUAUCAUCAAUGAAAACAAUCACGAACGAGUCGAGAUAGGGCCGAAACACGCUGUUCAUCAAAUGCAUGAAAGCUGCUGGGGCAUUGGUCUGCCCAAAAGACAUCACAAGGAACUCAUAAUGACCAUAUCGGGUCCUGAAAGUUGUUUUAAGAAUAUCUGAAUCCCUGAUCUUCAGCUGGUGAUACCUUGAACAUAGAUCAAUCUUAGAGAACACCCUCACUCCCUGAAGCUGGUCAAAUAAAUCAUCAAUACGAGGCAAAGGAUACUUGUUCUUGAUUGUGACCUUGUUCAACUGCCUGUAAUCAAUGCACAUCCUUAUAGAUCCAUCCUUCUUUUUCACAAAUAGGAUAGACGCACCCCACGGUGACACACUAGGCCGAAUAAACCCCUUAUCAAGGAGUUCCUAAAGUUUCUCCUUCAAUUCUUUCAACUCCGUCGGUGCCAUAGGAUACAGUGGAAUAGAAAUGGGCUGCGUGCCCAGCACCAAAUGAAUACCAAAGUCAAUAUCCCUGUCCGGCGGCAUGCUCGACAGGUCUGCAGGAAACACAUCUAGAAAAUCCCUCACUACAGGAAUAGAAUUAAUACUAGGAGUCUCUGCACUGACAUCCCUCACAAAGGCCAAGUAUGAAAGACAACCAUUCCCAACCAUCUACUGGGCCUUCAUAAAUGAAAUCACCCUACUGGGAUCAUACUCAGUCGAACCUCGCCACUCAAUCCGUGGCAACCCCGGCAUAGCCAACAUCACUGUCUUAGCAUGACAAUCUAAAAUAGCAUGACACGGAGAUAACCAAUCUAUGCCCAAUAUCACGUCAAAACCAACCAUACUAAGCAACAAGAGGUCCACUCGGGUAUCCAAACUCCCAAUAGUUACUACACAUGAUUGAUAUACAUGGUCCACAAUGAUAGUAUCGCCCACCAGAGUAGAUACAUGAACAGAUGAAACAAGAGACUCGCAGGGCAUAUCCAAAUAAUGGGAAAAAUAUGAUGACACAACAUCUGAAGCAAUAGCAUCUGGUCUGGCCGGGAGGCCAUAAAAAUGGGCCUGACCACCACCUAGAGCUGAUUGAGCGGGUAGGGAGGUAAUUGGUGCUGAAGCCGAAAGCUGACUCCUCUACUGGGAUGAACCUCCCAUAAGAUGGGGACAAAACCUCUUGAUAUGACUAAAUCUCCACACUCAAAGCAGCCCCUCGCAGCAAGUGGCGGUGGGGACUAAAGGGAGCCCCACGUACCGAAAUGCCCACUAAAAGAACCAGGCAUAGAUGAACCCUAAACUGAUGGUGCCUGAGUCAAACUCUGACCUAGAAGGGCACUGAGAGACGAGUGACCCUGAUGUGAAUUGUGAGAACAAUGGCUAGAUGACCUACCACGGUGACCUGAAGGGGCUGGCUGAGCAUGUCUAAUGGACGGCCUCUGCCGUGCUGAGACUGACCUCCCGAAGGAAUACCACUGAAGCUACUAGAUCCCUAGGACCUCUUAGCCUCCCUGUCAUCCCGCUCUUGGCAGCGAACUAACUCCAUCUCUCUAGCAAUGUCAAUUACCUUCUCAAAAGAAGUGCCAGAUACUCGCUCUCUAGUCAGAAAAACUUGUAACUGAUAGUUGAGGCACUCAACAAACCUCCUAAUCCUCUCCCUAUCUGUGGGAACUAGCCAGAUAGCAUGAUGGGCCAACUCGGAGAACCUCAUUUCAUAUUGCGAUACGGUCAUAUACCCCUGACGCAGCUGCUCGAACUGCCUGCGCAGCUCCUCUCUGCGGGAAUGCGGUACAUAUUUCUCUAGGAAAAGAAUGGAGAACUGAUGUCAGGUAAGGGGUGGUGCACCAAUAGGCCUACACCUCUCAUAAGCCUCCCACCAAGUGAAGGUAGCUCCAGAAAACUGAAAAGUAGUAAAUGAGACUCCACUAAUAUCCAGAAUACCCGUUGUACGCAACAUCCUCUGACACUUAUCCAAGAAACCCUAGGCCCCUCUGCGCUGCUGAAAGUCGGAGGCUGAAGUCUACCAAACCUCUCCAAUCGACGCUGCUCGUCAUCAGGCAUAAUUGGAACCACAAAAUCCUGAAUAGGUGCAACCGGCUGGGCUGGUGGUGCCUCCUGUGUCUGGAGUCCCUAAACAACCUACUCAGGUGUAUGGGCGGCAAGAGUCUGAGUGCCUCCCCCAGCCUGAGAGGUAGCUACUGUAGUAGGAACUGUGACUGCCUGAGCAAGACUGGUGCACACAGUCAGAAUCUAAGCCAAAGUCUCUUGGAGACUCAGAAUAAGAAUAGGCACAGUCGGUGCCUGAGCUGGUGUUGUUGGAGCAUCCCUCAUUGGAGAAUGAUCAUGAACUGUGGUGGCGGGUGGAUCUGCAAGUGUUGCCCUAGCUACUGUGCAGGACACACCCCUUCCCCUACCACGACCUCGGCCCCAACUUGUGGUACUGGUAGUCAUCCAUCCUGACCAGUAGCACAUGUCCUCACCAUAUGUGAGAGAGUAGAAUAACAGAAGUUUAGUAAGAGGAUCAACAGAUUCGCACGACAAGAAUUCAAGAAUAUGAAGUGUUCAUAGAGGUUUUGCAGCCUCCCGAGGAUAAAUACAAAUGUCUCUGUACCGAUCCGCGAGACUCUACUAAACCUUCUUAUGAAUCGUGAGACCUAUGUAACCUAAGCUCUGAUAUCAACAUGUCACGACCCAAAAUUUAACCAUGUCAUGAUGGCGCCUAUCAUGAUAUUAGGCUGGCCACUUAUUUCCAAAUACUCCAUUUUUCAAAUAAAAACUUAAGAAAAUCAUAAUUUAAUAGAAAUUCAAUAAGAUAAAAGUAGAAAUCAAUAUCCAGCGAUAAGAAAUACAAUCCCGGCCUCGGGUGUCACUAAGUCAUGAGCUAAAACUAUUACAUCUAUUCGAAAUAACAUGACCAACAUGGUCUGAGAAUAUCCAAAUAAAUACACUAAUGGAAGAUAAGGAAAGGAGAAGGCAGAACUGCGGUCGCCAAGCAGCUACCUCGCAAUCUCCAUAGAAAGUCUCCAACUGGUAUGGUCAACAACCGUUGUCGUACCCCGAGAUACCUGGAUCUGCACACAGGGGUGUAGUGAGUAACGUGAGUACACCAGCUCAGUAAGUAACAAGUCCAAACUAUGGACUGACGGUAGUGACGAACCAAACCUCAACAGGUUGCAACAGUGAAUUGUACGGAAAAGUAGACAUGCUUACAGUUCAUGUAUUUUCUCAGUAGUAAUUAAACAUAGUAUGAACGAUAUAGAGUAUAAAGCUCAGGAACCUCUAAGUACCAAUGCACAGAUAGCAUGAUCAAUGUUACGUAUAAUACUUCAAAUCACAAUUUUCAACCACUCGGUAUUGUAUAUGGCCCAUUGGGCCCCGAGAAGAUCCAUCCCGGAAUAUAUAUACAUUACACACUAUAAGUCACCCAGUUCCGAGGAAACAGGCCAAUCUAGCCUCAUGGAGAAGAUCCAUCUUCAUACCAAUACUUCGGACAAGAUCCAUGUCCAGGGAAGAUCCAUCCCUCAAUAUCAUCAACUGCGCUCACUGGGGGUGUAAAGACUCUGGAGGGGCUUCUCUUAGCCCAAGCGCUAUAUCAAUUCCAGCGAAGGCAUGAUCAAUAUCUCGCUGCAACGUGCAGCCCAAUCCCAUACUGUCAAUCAAUAUCAGGCUCUCGGCCUCACUCAGUCAAUACUCUCCAAUGUCAUACACAUGGGCUAAAUUGUCAUGAUACAAGCCCAAACAAUGAUAUGAUAUGUCAAAUAGCAAUAAUCGAGACUGAGGCAUGAUAUAAUAUGCAUGAACAUGACUUAGUAUAGAAUAUAAGUGAAGCAAAUGACAUGACAGCAAGAAACGACCUCUCAGGUCUCAACAAUGUUAGCAUGAAGCCUUAACAUGAUGAUUAGCAUGAUUUGUUGCUCAUUAACUUGAUCACAUAACCACAACACAGAUAUCAGCAAAAAAGAGUCACUAAGCGGUGGCACGAAAUGAUGCAGGCUGCAUUCCUCACGAUGCACACCCACUCGCCCGUCACUUGGCAUUGUGUCACCUCAAUAGUAAUCAUAGAACACAGUUCGGGGUUUAGAACCCUCAGAACCAAGUUUGGAAGCGUUACUUACCUUAAGCCAAGCCAAACUCUAGCCCUCGAUGCCUUUUCCUCUCGAUUCGGCGUCCAAGUGCCCCGAAUCUAACCAAAAUCAGCAUACAACCAUCAAUAUACGCUAAAGGAAUUAAACCCAUAUAAAAUAAUCAAUUUAACUCAAAAAUCCUAAAAUUGGCCAAAUCCGACCCUCGGGACCACAUAUCGGAUUCCGAUAAAAAAUACAAAACUAGAAUCCUCACACUCUCACGAGUUCAUACAUACCAAAUACACCAAUAUUCGACCACAAACGACCUCUUAAAUCCCCAAAUCAAGGUCUCCAAUUCCAUGCCCUAAUCUCCUAACUUUCCUCCUUAAUUUUCCACUAAUACCAUGAUUAAACAAUGAGAAAAUGGCCAUAAACACAAAUAAUAAGGCUUAAGAAGCUUACCCAAUAGAAACCCCUCGAUUUCCUUGAAAUAUCACAGCCCUAGAUCUCUUUCCGUCAUCAAAAAUGGUGAAACUUAGCAAAAUUUCGCGAAGGCAUCUAUUUAUAUGUUCUGACCAGCGAUACCGCAUUUGCGGUCCAAUUCCCGUACCUGCGGGACCACAUCUGCGCAUAACCAACCGCUUCUGCAGUUUUUCAUUUAAUUGCCCUUACUGCACCUGCACUCAAAUAUCCGCACCUGCUCCUUCGCAGGUGCACUCCACUCUCUGCAUCUGUGGCUUCUGCCUUCGCACUUAUGGCUGCAACUGCGGCUUGAUCUCGCUUCUGCGGUUAUCGCACCUGCGGACCCAUAACCGCAUAUGCGGUUAUGACAUCACCCCGAGGCCCCCAGGACGUCAACCAAAAGUAUGAACAAAUCACGUUACACUAUUCAAACUUAUACCAACCUUCAGAACACUCCAAACAACAUCGAAUAGUCAAAACACCCUCGAAUUCAAGCCUAAGAUUCCCAAAACUUCCGAAUUCCGCAAAACGAUCAAAAAGUUUAUCAAACCACCUUCGAAUGGCCUGAAAUUUUGCACACGCGUCACAAAUGACACAACGGACCUACUUCAAUCUCUAGAAUUCCAUUCCGACCCCGAUAUAAAAAAUUUCACUACCAAUCGGAAAGCGCAAAAAUUCCAACUUCACCUAUUCAAGCUUAAAUCUACCACUGACCUCCAAGUUAUAUUCCGAUCACACUCGUAAGUCCCGAAUCACCUAAUGAAGUUAUCUGAAUCAUCAAAAUUCACAUCUGAGCCCUUUUUCACAUAAGUCAACGUCCGGUUGACUUUUCCAACUAAAGCUUAUUCAAAAGAGACUAAUUGUUCCAAACCUCUCCAAAACCACUCAGAACUCGAACCAACUAACUCGAUACCACAUAAUAUAGCUGAACAGGACAUAAAGAAGUAGAAAUAGGGAAAACGGAGCAGUAACUCAUGAAAUGACCGGCCGGAUCGUUACAAAAUCCCAUGUUUAUUUCUUUAGAGACCAAUCUCGCAACUCAAGAUUUUCAACCACUUGAGCUACCAACCGAGCUAUUGAAUUUUUAUUGAUUUAAUUCUUUUGUCAUCAAAAUAUUAGUUGUGAAACCUUAAGCAUUUAUACCUUAAUGAAGCAAUGGAACAGGAAAAUCAAAAGCUCAUUUUAGGCAUGAAGAUUCAUCUAAGAAAAUUAAACCAAACAAUAUGCAAACAGUAAUCAACAGAACAAAACUGAAUAAACAAAUACAACUAAGACACCCCAAAACAGAGGAACAAAACACUAACACAUACGAGCAACAAAUACAAAGAAAAGACUAUUUAAUGAGAUUAUGAAAAUAAACAAAAGCAUGACAUUAAGCGAAUAAAAAGUAGAGGAAAGGGAGAAAUAAACCUCAAAUAAAUCUGAAAUGCAACUAUUUGACAAUUCUGAGGCGCGACGCAAUAGAACCUCAAGCAAGAAUCUCCACAGGAAACUGGAGAACAGGACCUAGAUCGAAAAAUCGGACGAAGACCUCAAACAGGUGCCUCUACCAGAACAGAGAACAACCCCUCCGGCAACUCGAAACUCGUCGAAAAUUCAAAAGUGAAAAAAUGAGCUAAGCACUUUCUUUACAGCGGAAACGCGACAACUUUGGAACUAUUUUGAAGUUGCUCUUACGUGGGUUUCGCGGCUAGAUUUUGCUGAAGUUUGGGGCGAGUUUAAGGACUGUUUUGCGGAUAGAGUUGAGCAGAUUUUUAGCAGCUAUUUCGGGUCAUUCCGGGUGUUGUUUUAGUCCAUUUUUGGAUGGUUCUUGGUGGUUGUUGACAGCUGAAUUUUGGGGCUGACUCUCAUGGGUUUUGAGGCUGGUUUAAAGGCAAUUUUCACCUUCUUUGGAGCUGAGUUUCAGAGCUCAAUUUUGGCAUUGUUUUUGACAGCUUUUCACGGUAAGUUAGAGGUGGGUUUGGGGUGUUCAUAGGUAACUUGAGAUCUGAUAUUAAUGGAUGAAAAUCAGGUGUUAUCAUGGAGGUUUCAUGGUGGAGAUAUGGAAGAAGAAGAAAGUGGAAAACUCCUGAUUUUGGUGUCUGCCGUGGCUCUUUUUUGCACUUUUGCUCUGUUU